GCUGGAAUGGUCUAGUUGGUUAUGACGACUGCCUAACACGCAGUAGGUCCCGAGUUCGAUUCUCGGUUCAACU
rnacentral:tRNA from 1 species